UACGGAAGGCAGCAGUGGGGAAUAUUGCACAAUGGGCGAAAGCCUGAUGCAGCUAUGCCGCGUGUAUGAAGAAGGCCGUUAGGGUUGUAAAGUACUUUUCAUCGGGGAGGAAAAACAAAACUAAUAAUUUUAUUUCUUGACGUUACCCGAAAAAGAAGCACCGGCUAACUCCGUGCCAGCAGCCGCGGUAAUACGGAGGGUGCUAGCGUUAAUCAGAAUUACUGGGCGUAAAGAGCACGUAGGUGGUUUUUUUAAAGUCAGAUGUGAAAUCCCUGGGCUUAACCUGGAAACUGCAUUUUGAAACUGAAAUACUAGAGUAUCGUAGAGGGAGGUAGAAUUCUAGGUGUAGCGGUGAAAUGCGUAGAUAUCUGGAGGAAUACCUGUGGCGAAAGCGGCCUCCUAAACGAAUACUGACACUGAGGUGCGAAAGCUGGGGAGCAAACAGGGAUUAGAUACC
rnacentral:rRNA from 1 species